rnacentral:rRNA from 1 species
UACGGGGGGGGCAAGCGUUGUUCGGAGUUACUGGGCGUAAAGGGCUCGUAGGUGGCCAACUAAGUCAGACGUGAAAUCCCUCGGCUUAACCGGGGAACUGCGUCUGAUACUGGAUGGCUUGAGUUUGGGAGAGGGAUGCGGAAUUCCAGGUGUAGCGGUGAAAUGCGUAGAUAUCUGGAGGAACACCGGUGGCGAAGGCGGCAUCCUGGACCAACACUGACACUGAGGAGCGAAAGCCAGGGGAGCAAACGGG